GCCCUCCUCGCUCAGCGGAUCAGAGCGCCCGACGACGGAUCGGGAGGACGCAGGUUCGACUCCUGCGAAGGGCACCA
rnacentral:tRNA from 1 species